rnacentral:rRNA from 1 species
GACGAACGCUGGCGGCGUGCUUAACACAUGCAAGUCGAACGGUAAGGCCCUUCGGGGUACACGAGUGGCGAACGGGUGAGUAACACGUGGGUGAUAUGCCCUGCACUUCGGGAUAAGCCUGGGAAACUGGGUCUAAUACCGGAUAGGACUCCGGACUGCAUGGUCUGGGGUGGAAAGCUUUUGCGGUGUGGGAUGGGCCCGCGGCCUAUCAGGUUGUUGGUGGGGUGAUGGCCUACCAAGGCGACGACGGGUAGCCGGCCUGAGAGGGUGACCGGCCACACUGGGACUGAGAUACGGCCCAGACUCCUACGGGAGGCAGCAGUGGGGAAUAUUGCACAAUGGGCGCAAGCCUGAUGCAGCGACGCCGCGUGAGGGAUGACGGCCUUCGGGUUGUAAACCUCUUUCAGCAUCGACGAAGCGAAAGUGACGGUAGGUGCAGAAGAAGGACCGGCCAACUACGUGCCAGCAGCCGCCGUAA